rnacentral:rRNA from 1 species
GACGAACGCUGGCGGCGUGCCUAACACAUGCAAGUCGAACGCAGUGGCGAACGGGUGAGUAACGCGUAAUCAACCUGCCCUUCAGAGGGGGAUAACAGUUGGAAACGACUGCUAAUAUCGCAUACUGCAGGAGGGGAUUGCGUCUGAUUAGGUAGUUGGAGGGGAAACGGCCCACCAAGGCGAUGAUAAGUAGCCGGUCUGAGAGGGUGAACGGCCACAUUGGGACUGAGACACGGCCCAGACUCCUACGGGAGGCAGCAGUGGGGAAUCUUCCGCAAUGGACGAAAGUCUGACGGAGCAACGCCGCGUGAGUGAUGACGGCCUUCGGGUUGUAAAGCUCUGUUAAUCGGGACGCGGUACCGGAAUAGAAAGCAACGACUAACUACGUGCCAGCAGCCGCGGUAAUAC